GAUGUCUCUUGCAUAAGUAAUGUUUGCUUAUUUAAAUUGCUUUUUAAGAAAGUGUAAUUUUAUUUCUUUAUUAUUUUAUAUGCAGUAUAUUGGUGGGAGACUCAUGUGGAUUUACCCAUCAAUGACUGGUCAUUUUCUUAGUGGCAUAUGUGGUUAUUAACUUCAGAAUAAUGACAUAGCCUUGUGGGGAUUUGUAGCCCUCCUAUCCUAAUUUCACUCAAGUAUCACCUCUUACCUUACUGUAUCCUUUAUUGUGUAUGAAAAUUAUUGAAAAAGAAAAACCUCUGCUUUAUAGAGAUGAAGUUUCCAGGUAUAUCAAAUGUGAACAGCUUCUGCCAAUACUUCACAGUUAUGCAAUUUACAAGUAUCCAAGAGGAUAUUGAGACCUUUCUAUGACACUUCCUCAGAAAAAAACUCUCUGCUUCACAAGAGCUUUAUCUGCAAAUGGAUUAUUCAGUCUGUCUCCUCCCAUUCUGCUUGGCUUCCUGCUAAUGCCUCUGUUGGUAGCUUCCAGUGGUCUUUGUAACCUGUAUUUAUCUUUCCCAAAUUAGAGGCAGCUGGGCACUUUUAGGAAGACAACAACUUGCUAAUUCUCUCUUUUCUAAUUUGCAAAGCCAGUAAUUCUCUCGAACUUCAGGAGACUUAUUUGGCCACAAAACAAAGAACUGUAAUGUGGUCUUAAGCUUUUAAGGCUUUAUUAUUUUAGAAAUAUUCUAUAACAAUGUGGAAGUUUAAACAUAUCAAUUAUUAGAAUCAAUAAACAUUAUAUAUUAUGAUAGCUCUAUUUUCUGUACCUGUCCUAAAUUUGACAUGAAUCAAACCAACUGGAAUUUUCUCUUUUAAGAAACUAUUUGAUCUCUAUUGAACAGAGUAAGUAGUGAGGAAAGAGUUCAUGAGUUGGGGAAAAAAAAAACACUUUUUAAGUUGCUUAGAAUAAAGAUAAGGAAUUCUUACUUGCUAAACAAAACCCUGAUUGCUUGAUAUGAACAUUAUAUUUUUGUAAUUAGUUUUCUUUGGAGAAAAUUCCAGAGAUAUUAACUAUUUUUAAAACAAAUUUAAUAUCUGCUAUUUUUUCCAGCUCUUAAAUUACAUUAUUAUUUUACCUAAUUCCUAUGGACAUGCCUUUUCAACCAUUUUUACACACUCUUUUUGAAUAGCUCUUUGUGGAAAACUUUAUUAUGUAGCUAAAAUAUCAUAUAUUGGUUAGGCUCUUUCCAUGAAGUGUGGAGAAGGAAAACAGCCUCAAGUAUUUGACAAAUCAUAAUAAUAUUUGGAUUUUAAAACAUUAAUAUACUGGUAAAGAUAAUUUGAAUAAGAAAUAGGAAAAUAGUAAAGUAUUAUUCUUUUAAUAAGAGUAAUAUUUUCCAAGACACAAAUUUGAAAAUGACAAGACACUCAUAUAAAGGAUCCUAAAUUCUCUAACUAAUGCCUACUGUUGUGAUUUUUAUUUGCAGUGGUUGAGGUAUACAUAAAGGAAUUGUACGUCUUAUUAUAUCAUUUUAUUGUUCAGAUAAAAUUUGUUUACCAGGAACUACUUAGAUCCUACAUGUAUUAUUCAAUGGAUUAUACAUACAUAUGUAUUUAUUAUGAGUAUAACCAAUAUGGUGAUCAAGAAACAAAACCUUGAUAUUGUUUUAGAAAGUUCUUUUAAGACUGCUUACCACAAAUUCCCACACACCAGAGACAAUCACCAUUCUGAUUUCCAUCAUCAAAGAUUAUCAUUGCCAGUUUUUGAUUUUUGCAGAGGACUCUUUGAUGCCUGGAUUCUUUUGUUUAAUAUAAUAUUUUCAAAAUUCUCUGAUGUUGUUACAUGUAUUAGUAGAUAGUUACUAUUGAAUGAUCCCCCCCAAUUCGGAUUAUAAAUAAGCUUCUAUGAAUUUACUUUUCCAAUCAUGUACUGUACUUUAUUUUCUAUUAAUACCCAGAAGUGGAUUUGCUGAUCAUAAGAUAAGUGUAUCUUUAACUUUACAAGAAAGUAUUGAAGUUUUCCAAACAGUUGGAUUAUUUUACACCAACAAUCUAUGGUAAUUUUAUUUGUUCUUCAUCCUCACCAGCAGGUGGGGUGUAGGUGCUUUUAAUUUUAGCCAUUUUAGUGAAUGUGAAGUAGCAUCUCCUUGUACUUUUAGUUUCAUGAUUAAUGAUGUAGAGCAACUCUUUAUGUUCAUGUUAACCAUCUUAUGCCUUUUGUUGGAAUUUUUAUUUUUAAGUCUUUAUUCUUGAGGUGUAAUUGAUCUACAGAUAUUCUUAAUAUAGAUCCUAUUUUCUUGAGGUGUAAUUGAUCUUCAGAUAUUCUUAAUAUAGAUCCUUAUUCAGAUACAUUAUUAUUGACACAUUUUCCCAGUCUAUGGCAUUCUGCUUAACAUUAUUAAUGGCUAUUUUCAUAAGUAGCAGUUUUUACUUACUCAGUUCCGAAUGAUCAAUUAUUUCUUUCAUAGUCAAUGUUUUUUGUGACCUCUGAGAAAAUGUUGCCUUCUCCAAGGUUGAAAAAAAUGUUUCCUUCUCCUUGCUUUGUAGAGAUUAAAGUUUCUUUUCUGAUUUGUGGAUAUUCAGUUGUUCUAGCAUAAUUUGUCGAAAAGAAUUUUUGACAAUUUGUUAUCUUGGUGACUUUAUUAAAAUUCAACUAACCAUAUAUAUGGUGAUUAGUUUCAUAUACUCUCUUCUGUUCCAUUAAUCUAGUUACCUUGGUUAGUAGAGCUUUGUAUUAAGUUUUAAAAUCAGAUAGUAUGAGCUCUGACUUCAUAUUCUUUUCCAAGAUUAUACUGGCUAUUCUUGGUCCUUCGCACUUCCAAGUCACUUUUAGAAUUGACUCAUCAAUUACUGUAAAAAAUACCCUGCUGAGAUUUGGGACGGGAGUUCCUUGACUUUGUAGGUUAAUUUAAAGUACUGACUAGGUCUUCCGCUCCCAGAAUUUGGUGUACUUAAUUAGGUCUUUUAAAAUUUCAUCAGACAGGGGCUGGGCAUGUAGCUUAGUGGUAGAGUGGAUGCUAAGCUUGAGGCCCUGCGUCAAAUCCCAGCAUGCACAUGUGCGCGCAGCACACACACACACACACACACACACACAGAGAAAAUUCCCUCAGCUGUUUUUGGUAGUUUUCUACAAAUUAGGAAAGAAACAAAUUAGGGUUAUUUUAUAAACAUUGAGCUAUUCAGAUUUUCUAUUCUUCUUGUGUCAGUUUUAGUGAUUGUGUUUUAUGAAAUUUCCAUUUCACUUCAGUUAAAUUUAUUGGCACAAAGUUGUUCAUAAUACUUCAUUUUAAUCCUCUCUCUAUAGAUAGGAUUUGUAGUGAUAUAACUCUUUUUUUUCUAAUAUCAAUAAUUGUUUUCUCUUUUUUUUGUUGUUGAUCAAGGAAUUUAUCUUCCCAGAUAAAUUCCUUUUUUAAAAAAUUCUCAAAGAAUAAACUUCUGGUUUAAUUAUUUUUUUCUAUUGUUUAUUAUUUUUCUCAUUGAUUUCCCCUCUUCUUUUUAUAAUUCCUUGCUUCUCUCUACUUAUUUCAGAUUAAUUUGGCUAUAUUUUCCUAGUUCCUUAAAAUAGAAACUUGAUCAAUUUGAAACCUUUUCCCCUCUUUUUUACAUAAGCAUUUCACAAUCCAAAUUUUCCUCUAAAGCUGAGCAUGGUUGGGCACAUGCCUAUAACAUGGGCUACUUGGGAAACUGAAGCAGGAGGAUCAUAAGCUCAGGAUCAGCCUAGAUAACUUAGCUAGAUAUUGUUUCAAAAUAAAAUCUAAAGGGCUGGGAUAUAGCUCAGUGGUG
rnacentral:lncRNA from 1 species